AGUCUUAAUUUUACUUAAAUUGCAAAUUUAAGAGGGUUUAAAAAAAAUAAACUAAGGCUU
rnacentral:tRNA from 1 species